UUUUUCUUCUCACCUUACACAGGAACACCUCACAUCAGCCUGCUCUCUGUGUGAGAAGGUAUAAUUAAAAGAAUUUAUGAAGAAAUAGGACUGUUGUUGACGGAGAGCUUGAAGCUAGUGUAUCCGGGAAGCUAGUCACCCUGGGUGAGAGGUUGCUUCACUGCGGCUGUGGUUAAAGGCUCUGGGACACACAACUCGUAUCCCUCUUUGCUGUGUGUGUUUUGCUGCUGUGAAGCACUUGUGGUGAAACUAAUUGCCACACAGUGAACCUGAAGCCUCCAUCCCCACCUUGAGGGUCUGGGGCCCAUGGGUUUUGCCCAGUUGAUCUUUCGGAAAGACUGCUUUUGCAGUUGGUGGUCUCCAACACCUGUAUCCACUGCAGACAAUGCUUCCUGGACCUGCUCUCUCAAAGAUCCUACAUGCAAGUUUCUCAUCUAUGGCCCAGUCAUGCAUGGUCGUGUUCCUCUAAGUCUUAGCACAUCCUCCAUGUCUUACAGAAAGGCUAAGCUGUAGUGCAAUUGGCACUAAGCCUUCAUGGGUCAUCUAACUUGGGCAUGUCCUCGUCAAAACAGACAUUCAGUAUACAGGUACAUUCUCUGAAAUUACCAUUACAUUUGACUUGGUGAGGAAACAGUCAAUUCGCCCUUGCCAAAUAUGUUUGACACAAGGAAUGUUCAUAGAAAAUAAAUAUGAAAACAUGGAUAGACAUUAAAAUGUUUAAAUGUAAAUGUGGACUGAUGCUGAGCUCACUGUGUGUGUACAGAUCAGAGCGGCCACAGUGGAGGGGCAUCUGGACAGCAUCAUACAGGGAAGUAACAGUUUAGCAGCAGCUGUUGGGUUUUGGAUUUACCCAUGGACAACAAAGAUACAGACAUAUGUAUCAAUAGUACAUGAAGAAGCCAUGACCCUUCAGGAUGCGAACUAUUCAAACUGAUUUCCAUUCACUGGGUAAAUAAAACAUGUCUCAAUUGCACAUGUGCUGAAUGUUUCAAUGCCCUUUAUAGUGGUUAAGAUGCAAAGUGCAUAUUUAACAUAAAAUAAUAAGCUAGGAUAUACUACAGUGUGACUAUAGCUCUUAACUUCCCAAGUUCCUUCAGAACUGCUGUCCUUUCGCACCAAAUAACACAAAAGAAAUGAUCAUAUUCACAGAACAAAAAGAAACACCAGUUUACAAAAAACACAGAAACAGAAAGCAAUAUAGAGGAGCAAUGCCUUCACACUGUGAGUGCAGUAUGAGAGCAUACAUGCUGCUGCUUUAUUCACACAGCAUUGGCUGGCACUGAAUGAAAUAAAGGUCAAUUUCUGUGUUGCUGUGAAUCCUUUGUAUGUGAGAUUAUUGCAUAGUUUGGAAUUCUUAACAUAGCUAUUAAAUUGACAUUGACAUCUCUUUUUCUGUUCUGUGCUUCACUCUUAUAAAUCCAGGGCAAUAUAUAAAUUCACUUUUUUUUCAAACAAGACUGGGUUCAAUUCCUUUCAUGAAGUCAAAGCAAAAACUGUAAAGACAAUCAAAAUCAGGCAAGCAGAACCUUUCUGCUCAAGAAUUCAUCAGAAUUUUGUUCCAACCAUUUUUAAGAUGACUGAUUUGCAAGGUUUGAAUUUUCAAGAACAGGUGUUUUCUGAAUUAAACUGAUUAAUAGUGAACUGAACCCAGCCCUGGUUCCAAGUUCUUCUCUAUAUUGCAUUUUCAAUGUGCACAAACAUUUGCAAUUUACUCCCAAGCAGAAACUAACUUAAGCCAUCGAUUAUCUCAUUGAAGCUAAUGGCAAACCACCAUCUAUAUACCAAGUAUAGAUAAAACAAACACCAGCAUGAAGACCCUUCUCAGUGACUGUGGCGCUCUGUACUAAUCUACUGAUUCUGAAUGAUUGUCUCAAUCUCCAAAGGCCAUGAAACACGCAGUCUUACCUGCAAAAAUGUUCUGAUUUCAUAUGUUGUUUUUGGAAAGAGAAUUGCUUAUUGGAUGAAGUCUACUGGGACUGUUUGUUACAUUGAUGUACAGUUACAAUGUCCCUUAAUAUACACAAUCUAACUUGAGCUUCUUACCUAGUGAGACAACCUGAGUGCCAUUUUAAUUGAACUCACCAAUGUACCAACAAACUGAAAUCACUGAUGUUACAUCAAGAGUGUGUUAACUAAGUUACUAACUGCGGUCUAUAAAUUUCUUUACACACAUUGGUAGCUUUCUCUCUCUGACGUAUGCUGCUUGUAGCUAAAUGCCAGUGCAGUCUUAGCAAAAAAUGCUUUAGCUGAAAGCCAUUAUCAUCACUUGUAACAUAGAGAGAUACUGUUUGGUCUCUUUAAUUCUGGAUGCCUUCUUGGUAGGAUCAUUGCCAUCCUGGAUCACACUCUUAAAGGCCCUAAAAACAUAUUUUCUCAAUCAACUUGUAGCUAUGAGAGAUUUCUGUCUGUGCUGUUUGGUCUGUGCUCAUCUCACUGAUUUGACAUGGGUGGGUGACAGCACGUACUUCGGAGCACUAAUCAGGAUUUAGCAACAUUUGAAUCACAAUCUGAUGACACUCGCAGGGUUGUUUGCUUAUGUUGUCAGGCCACUGUCAAUUAUAUCUUAUCAAACCAAACCGACACAGUCCUGAUUAAGCAGAGUAUUUGAGUUUUGGGGUUUUAAUACUUAAUGUUAUUUGAAACAAAGUUUCCAGGGGCUGUAAAAAAAGACUUUGCGACUGAGGGCUAAAGCAGAUACAGAUACUACAGUAUGUACUCCCAUGAUACAUGUCGUCAUUUCUCUUGCAUCUUUCCUAUCUCUUUCUCUACUGUAUAAUAUCAGAACCGACACAUUAAAGAAAUAACAUAAAAAAUAAAUAAUAACAGGGAAGAAAUACAAGGGAUGAAGAUAAUCACUGACACUAGCUACGAUUAGAAUGUAGCCAUCUUAAAGCUAGAGUGUGGGACUUUUACAUAUGAAUGAACGUCAGUUACAUUCGAGCCCUUGCCAAACGAGUUCACACAAUGCUGAUUAAGACUAUCGCCUAAAUCUCUCUGUAUUUGGCGGUGUAAGGAGUUCCAAAAUCUGAUGUCUGUGGCGACAUUCCCGCGCUGGUGCACUGAUAAUGAUGCGUUUUACACCAACCAGCAAUGAUUGGUGUGGUUUUGAUUUGAUUGGAUUUUGUUUGUCAGGGGGAAGCAGGGAGCAACCCAGAGCCAUGUAGAGAGCUCCUCGAUCUGUCAUUGCUGUAAAAAUAAAAAGGUCCAUUGGAGAGAAUGGUUAUUAUUGAGCAUUGUUUAUUAUGAUUGUAUAAUUUGUGUUAA